GGGUUGAGGGAAAAAAAAGUUCAGAUCUCAAAAGCCAAAUCUCAGGGACCACACAACAGAUCUGGGCAGGAUCUGGUUCUUCACCCUGCCCAGGCUCUCCACACAACGGUUUAUAGUGGACUGGGUUGCCUGUGUUUCGGGGCCUAACAGGAGCGUCUGGACUCCAGUCCCAUUGGGCCGCAUGGCAGUCACCCAGCAGCCUUCUACCUGCCAGAGCUGCCGGGAUGUCCGGGGAGCGGGAGAGCACCGCAGACCAGAUGCCCAGGCACCCACAUCUGUCCACGCCUUCUUUGAGGGCAGACCCUGCGUGAGUUUCCCACUUGAAUGCCCAGCAUGGAGCAGAGACUUGUACGUGAAGUAGAUGCUCAGAAUUCAUCCUUGAGUCCCCAAGAGAGAACCAGGAGGCAAGCAGGACAAAAAGGAGUGUUCUGUGGCCUUCCAGAGGAUGGACCUGGGUGAGCUCGAGCCGUCUUGCUGUUCUUCUCACUUAUUUCCCCUUGCUGGGUCGUCGUUGCCACUUGUGAAGUCUUUACUUGUGGCAGGUGGGCUCUAGUUCCCCGGCCAGGGUUGAACCCCCACCCCCUACAGAGGAAGCGCAGAUUCCUAGCUGCUGAACCACCAGGGAAGACCCUGCCUUGCUGUUCUUCAGACACACCAGGCGCGCUGCUGCCCUGGGGUCUCAUGUGGGCCCUCCCAGCGGAUCUGCCCUGAUCCAGCUAAGGAAGGCCAAGCAUCUGGAUUCUGCCCCACAAGAGAAAUGGAUGAAGG
rnacentral:lncRNA from 1 species